AGAGUUUGAUCAUGGCUCAGGAUGAACGCUAGCUACAGGCUUAACACAUGCAAGUCGAGGGGAAACGACAUCGAAAGCUUGCUUUUGAUGGGCGUCGACCGGCGCACGGGUGAGUAACGCGUAUCCAACCUGCCCACCACUUGGGGAUAACCUUGCGAAAGUAAGACUAAUACCCAAUGAUAUCUCUAGAAGACAUCUGAAGGAGAUUAAAGAUUUAUCGGUGAUGGAUGGGGAUGCGUCUGAUUAGCUUGUUGGCGGGGUAACGGCCCACCAAGGCGACGAUCAGUAGGGGUUCUGAGAGGAAGGUCCCCCANAUUGGAACUGAGACACGGUCCAAACUCCUACGGGAGGCA
rnacentral:rRNA from 1 species